rnacentral:rRNA from 1 species
AUGAUUGCGGUGACCACUUGGUACAUUUGGUGGCAGAGGAGGCAAGUGGAAAAGGGAGAAGAGGUGCAGAACACAGAACGAUCAACACAAGCGAUACGAGCUGUCACUCUAAACGUUGUUCGUGCAGCAACGCAAAAGGCAGUCGCUCCAAGGUUGAAUAUUUGGAAGCGACCUUCAUCUGGCCAACUAGUUCUGAACACAGAUGCGUCCUUUAUAGAAGACAAUUAUUCUGGAUCUUGUGGUGCUGUUAUCCGAGAUGGUGCUGGUUACUUUGUUGCGGCCUCCACGACGAAGCUAGAGCAUGUUUCUGACGUUGAAUCAGCGGAGGCGGCAGCUCUUCUUGAGGGCUUGAAGCUUGCUCGGUUAGUGGGAGCUAAUUCCAUAGUCGCCCGGGCGGAUAACAUCACAGUGGUGGAUGCAAUGACAAACAAUUAUGGACAUUCUAUGGUGGCUAGUCCCAUACUUGACGACUGUCGGCAAAUAUGCGCAGAUUUCGGGAAGGUUCUUUUUGAAUUUUGUAGCAGAGAUUCAAACAUGGUAGCUCAUAGGCUAGCUCAGCAUGGUCGGGAUGAUCCACCGUCUUUGUGGUUGGACGUCCCACCAGAUUUUAUUUUGAAUUUACUUGCGGAUGAUGUAAGCAUUAUUUGA